rnacentral:tRNA from 1 species
AUUUAUAUAAUAUAAAAAAUUAUUUUUGACUUCCAAUCAAAAUAUCUAAAUUAUUUUAGUAUAAAUA